rnacentral:rRNA from 1 species
GGACGAACGCUGGCGGCAAUGCCUAACACGAUGCAAGUCGAACGGGGGUAGCAAUACCCUAGUGGCGAACGGGUGAGUAACACAUAAGCAAUCUGCCCUUCACAGGGGGAUAACAGCGGGAAACUGCUGCUAAUACCGCAUAAGACCACGGUACCGCAUGGUACAGGGGUAAAAACGAAUCAGUGGUGAAGGAUGAGCUUAUGUCCCAUUAGCUAGUUGGUGAGAUAACAGCCCACCAAGGCGACGAUGGGUAGCCGACCUGAGAGGGUGAUCGGCCACACUGGAACUGAGACACGGUCCAGACUCCUAUGGGAGGCAGCAGUGGGGAAUAUUGGGCAAUGGAGGAAAAAACCUUUUACCCAGCAAUGCCGCGUGAGUGAAGAAGGUCUUCGGAUUGUAAAGCUCUUUGAUUGGGGACGAAGAAAGUGACGGUACCCAAAGAACAAGCCCCGGCUAACUACGUGCCAGCAGCUGC